UUCAGUACCAAAAGCUUGAAUCUGUGAAAAUACAAUUAGACUGCCUAGGGACAUAGCAAAAUUAAAUGAGACCUGGUUUGAUCUUAGACAUCUAUUGGAUGUCUUGAAUCUUACUCUUGGCCAGCAAACAAUCAACAUGGGAAUGAAAUAAAGGGACAUACAUAAAACAGAACCAGACUGCACUAUCAAAAAAAGUUCCUCAGCUAGUUCCGGAUCCUCAAGUAGGUCCUUUCUAGACAAUUCCUCCUCAUCAAAGCCAUUUGUGAAAGUGUGCAAAAAUCAGUCUUCCUUUUCAAUGUCUUAUGUGAUGAAGUCAUACCUGGUUUUUCUCUGAAGCUUUGGAAUUUCCCUCUUCAUUACUGUAUUUACCCAAGUAAUUAUAAUCCAGACAAAGAAUGAGGUAUACUGGAGUUAUGAAGGACCAUGCCCUGGCUUUUAGGAAACAAUGGAAAUUUUUGGAAUCUGGGUCAUUGUAUCUAUGACUUAUUCACGAAUAGCUCAAGACAGAAAGAGACAGAGAAUGAAAG